CUGCUUGACACAAACGUGGUUAUGGUGGUGGGGGGGUGCAGGAGGGUGUCAGGGUGGAUUUUGCUCCUCAGCACAAGAACUGGGUCUGAUCCUUCUCCAGCUCCACAUCUCCUUCCUCAGCAGUGGAGAGAAAUCGAUUUGCUGUGACAGAAAAUUCAACCCGAACCUGAGGUGAGGACACCGCAAAGAGCUUCGGCGCUUGGGGAAGGAGCUGCCUGCCCCCGGCACGAAGGAUUCAGCACUCCCUCAGCCACCAGCGGAGAAAGGGACCUCAGGAAGGUGCAUCGCUGCAGGGAGGCUUCGAACGACAACAAAGCCCCCCCCCGAAGCCAACAACUUCGUCCUCAAAAGGUGUGGGAACGACUCCAGCAGCCGCGAAAAACCCUGAGCUCAAAAAGAGAGGAGGCAAAAAUUCCCUGCCCAGCGCAGUGCCAGCUUAGCCUGCACCCCAAGAUCCCUCUCUCGUUUCCUAACCAAGCCUGCUCCUUCCCAAGCCCUCCCGAACCUUUCUCCUUUGCUGUACGAGGGGACCAGGAGCAGCGUUUGCUGAGAUCAGCCCAGGUUAAACUCACGGCAGCCACGAACCUCACUCGUGGGCUCAGACCCUGGGCUCGGCAGCUUCUCUGCUGCAGUUCAGCUCAAGCCCAACAAAGCAGCUCGGGGGUGGCUUUCAUUCGCAGUUAAUAAAAGAGCCCCCGGCUCGAUUUAC